rnacentral:rRNA from 1 species
AUGAGCUCCCAGCCGGCGACCAUGGCGGCGGCCGCACGAGCAGCAGCGACGCAUCUCCUCCCUGGCCUCCCGGAUGAGGUCGUGGUCUGGGAGAUCCUCGUCCGCCUGCCCCCCAAAGCCAUCCUCCGCUGCCGCGCCUGGCGCCUCGCCACCUCCACCCGCGACUUUCUCCUCGCCCACCACGCCCGCCAGCCCACCACCCCCCUCCUCUACGGCUACAACUGCGCCGGCGACGUCGUCGAGUCCCUAGACAUCAUUCCGUUGGACAACGUGGCAGGGGUCGACGAGCUCCAGUACAGCGCGCGACUUGGCAUUCGCAGCGUUUACGGCCACGGCCUCCUGCUCCAGGACUCCUGCGAUGGGCUCCUCCUCCUUCACAACGGUAGCCUGCAUUGGUACGUAAACUCCUACAUAACGGUAUUUGACACCAUUUCUGAGUCGCUCCGGUUGAUGCAAUGUUCGAUUGUUAUUGACUGCGCCGACCUGUUUGAGAUGGGUGGCAUGCUUGGCAUGUUCGGUCUUAAUUAUGAAGGGACAAGCGUUGAAAUCUGGGCGAUGCAGGACUACAAAUCCGAGAUCUGGGCCUUAAAGUAUCGGGUCGAAUUGCCGGUUGCGGAGAUCAGCUUGCAAUGUGGAAAGUUUGACCAUCGUUGGGAGGUGGUUGCCACGUCGUCUUGGGACGGUCAUGUGCUCGUGCUGGUCCAUUUUGAUGAUUGGCUACUUCAGGUUGGCAUGGAAGGCCAGUUGGUUGCCAGUUUCCAUCGCAAAGGCCUCCGUCCUACUCGACUUCGACUCAAACAAAGUCUAGUUUCACAUGCUUUCUUUCGGACACUAGAGGGUUAUGUUGUCAACAACUCGCCUUUCAUCAGAUGA